UUGGAAUGGCCAAGACGGGGUCAGUCGUUCUCCGCGAGAGGGCGUACUUUACAAAUUAACGACGAUUUCCCUUGCGUUUGGACACUGUCUUGUCGCUGCUUUUCGUGCUUUUGCCGCGGUUAUACUAGCAUGAGUAGUUUGUUCCGAAAUACUAGCGUUGGGAUUGCUGUUCGCCAUCAUGUAAUCGGUAAAUAUUAUUGCUUUACGGUCUGGAUGAUUUAGGGAAAAGUAUUGUAGAAGACGAACAAGUUUUUUUCGUUGAUUCUGUGAGAAAAAGACGCUUACUCGUAGGCCUACCGCCCGGUACCACAGAGUACAGACCAUCAUUCAUGCAAUCGAUGCAUGGCGUGUGUGUCAUUGACACUGUGAGUGUGUGCAGACUUAAGACUGCAGUCUAGGCGUUCAGGCUACAGGCUUCAUCAUGUCUGUGUAUGUGUAAGCCUAGUGUCACUCUCAGCUCAGUCUUACUCUUUCUGUGGAGUGUGCGUCCAUCAUGAUAUUGUAUUGCCAACACGUCAUGGAGUGCAUACUAUAUAUCGGUACUAUAGAUCCAUGCACUUCAUUGGGACCAACGUUUAUGAAAACGUCGCGUCUCGUCGAGUUACAGUAAUGUAAAAUGCAUGCCCGUGACGUGACGACAGCCAACACUACGUCAUGUAAACGUUGUUCCCAAUCUAGUGCAUGAAUCUAUAGGCCUAGGUCUAUAUUAUAUAUCACCACUUAGGAAAUAGACGAAUUCGAAGAAGACGGAAUCGGUGCCAAAACAAAUCGAAUGCGCACACUCGGAAUACGUCAGAAGGCCUAGUAAGCCGACUUCGGACAGUGCCUAGAGAGACACGGCGAUCCUUUGUUCAAGGGCCCUCCGUGCCACCCCUGGGGUUUUUAAUGCCACUCGUGCCCACACUCAAGUGUUUUGAAGAAUGUAAAAUCCAGUGUGUGAUAAACAUGUGUAAAGAAACCUUUCGUAAGAAGCCAGAAGAGCUUUACAACAAUCUUGGACUGGGAGAUGGAGGCCAUCAUAAACUUCUUGUAGGAUGAGUUGCCGCAGACAGAGAUGAAAACCAUGAUGAAUGUCCGUGAGCCAGAGGCUAUGAUUUGUUUAGUACAACAAUGCGAGGGACUUAACAAAAUUGAGGCGGAAAUAUUCUUGAGGCAGUGUCGGUGCAUGGAAGAAACGGAAACAUUGGAUUAAGGAUUUAUUUCAUAGUGAAUUACACAGUCACAAAUGGAUUACACACGUUCUGGAUUAGACUAGUUUCUGCUGCAACUGACAUUUUUGCAGGUGCCCACUCGUAGGCGAUUCCUUGAUGUCUUCCUUGGAUUUUACAUGAUAUUAUGUCAUUUUCGCCAACAUCGGGUUUUGGCGCCAAGACGUUUGUUCCUAGAACAGUUGAUUUAAAUGCCGAAUGUGGUCAGUUUUAAUUUAUAUCGCAGGUGUCUACUCAAACAAUUUUAGAUGCUUUCUGCUGAAUCUUCUACUACUACUGUUUUUACUGAGGUUUCAUCGAUGUUUUUGGGUGGAGUGUGACUCUAAACUAAUAGGCAGCUUGUUAUGCCCCCGCCAAUGCGUAAAGCAUUGCGGAGGCAUUAUGUUUUACCAAUGUCCGUCAGCCGGUAGGCGUCAGGCGUCUGUAAACUUUUCGUUUCCUCUCAUUUUAACAAGAACGCUUUGAGUAAUAACCAUGUAACUUUUUGUGUGGGUAGAAAAAGAUAACGUGUACAGCGGGCAUUACAGACCAAUAACUCUUUCACGAUGUCAACUAAACCUAGUCAGCUAUUACACCAGCUGCCCGGGGUUGUCUGAAAAACACUUCACUUUCCUAAUACACCAACUCAAUGUGCUCACCGGGGCAUACGCCCUGCGUUGCUCUUGUUAUUGCAGUAUUUUUGUUCUUCCUCUGGUUCACCUUUAAACUAUUUUUCCAAUCUCCAAUCAUGUUUGAUGCUUUAGCCAUUUUGUUUCAGCUCUUAGAUAGUAGAAAAACGUGUUAUUCAUUAUUUCUGGUAGCACAAGUCCUGGCACGAAAUACCUUUCCCGUCAUAAUAUCAGUACCAAGACGUCACAGGGUAGGUCCUAACUCCAGGAAACGCCUUACUCGUGCACUGUUCCACGUGAAAAGGGUCACUGCUUGGAGAGCUAAAUGGGUCAACAUCAGAAAAGCGCGAUAAUUCAGUCUUUGGAAUUUUUUCUUUUUUUGUGCAAUUUGUUGAUGGAAACUACUUAUGUAGAACAGGAGGUGACUGGGCAGCGGACAGCUGGGUAAUAUUGCCCUUAACCCCUCGCCUCCCUAGAGGGGUCGAUAUAUCGUCCCUGUAUUUUGUCUCGCGUAGGCGGUACGAUAUAUCGUCCCUAUACUAAUGCUUUAGUAUAGAACUCUCGGUACACGUUAGACUCUAUUGUACAGUGUAUUCGUGUCCCUGGUGAUCUGCAGAAAACUAGAUUUAGUUUCAUUCAUAGUUUACAGAGGGCGCUGCAGUUUGAUUGGCGCUUGUGCAGCGUCACAGUACAAGAACUGAUUAGCAUAUAAAUUAAUAUUAUGUUGUAUUAUUCGAUCAAUCAGUAAUAGACAAUAGUCAAUCAAAGGUUAUCAAUCAAGUUACGUUGAUCAUUAACAGGUUGUAACUGCAUCAAUUACAGUUCCAUAUACUUUGUUCAAAUCAGAAAAAUCAAUCAAUUAGAGCAAAAUCAAUCAAAAAAUAUUGAUUAUUACUGAUUAUUGAUUACCUCUUACCUAAUUGAUACCCAGAAACAACGCCAAUUGAUAGCCAAGGUAAUCAGCUUUACGAAAAUGUAUGGUUUUAUUAGUCGUACUUCCACCUAUCAAAUCCCCGUGUCUUUUGCGCUUACACCUAUGAAUUGUCGUGUCUAAAUAGACCCGUGUGUCAAAUCCCCGUGUCUAUUAGCCCCAUCGAGCUUGAUGCGGCCAAUCGGGGGCUAAUUUAGACCCGUGUUCAACACUGGUUUUUGAUAGGUGGAAUCUGAAUAGACACAGCAAUUGCAAGUUCUAAGAUCCGGCGACAGAUGGCGCGGUGUAGUUGCCUCGGUAUUGCGCAUGCGAAAUUCCCCUCCAACGGGAAAGAAACACAGGAGAGCUCCCUACCUACAGCGCAUCUGUCGCCGGGGCUAUUAAUCAUUAUCUAACACAACUGAUAGGUGUGAGUGCGCCGCGGGUUUUUUGACACACGGCGAAGACACGGGUCUUGAAAAAACACGGGGUUUUAUCAUAGGUGUUCUGUAGGGACUGUAUAUUGAUAUAACUCCUCAACCUCUUAAACAAAACAACGUUUAUUUCUCCUUGCUUGCUACAAAAUCAAUCAAACUUUACAAAUGUUCAUCGCACGGAGACAAGACCACAAUUGAUUUUUUAAGCCUUUUAGCAGUUAAAUUGUCAAUGUUUGACCACGACGCAUCAAAGAAUGCGUCAAGUAGUGAAACUGAAAUUCGGAUAUGAUAUACGGGUUAGUCUUGCGAGUAACUGGUGCGAUGGAAAUUGGUGAUUGACCACGGAAAUUUUUUUUUAAUCGACAAAUUAGACAGACUUUGAUAUUUCCACUCUUUUCAGCCAACUGGCAGGAAAAACUCAAAACACGAAAUUAAUUUUUUCAUCAAAUAAUUUCUUUAUAUCUGUAGACUUGCCACAACAAAUAUUUUUUCAAUACCUCUCCAAAUAUGUACUUGAGAGUAAAAAACAUGCACUCGUCUAAUUGAUAGGCCUCGACCCUCCAACCUAUGAAUAUUCAUUAGUGGUCUUGUCUCCCACGUGCUCUCAUGGGUGGGCGCAGACAUCUUAAACUCCUUGCCAUUACUCGUUGUUGUCGUCGUUACACAUACAACCGUCUCAACCAAAUACACAGCAAUAGGUGGACCUAUGAGUUAUAAAUCAAGGAUAUGCAUAAAUCAUGCGUAAUGAAGGAGGUACAAUAUUUAAAAGUAUUUUUACGUUAUUUUGCAUAAAACUGGUAAAAAAUCUCAGUACAUCGCGUUACAUAGGCCUCAGGAGCCAAAGGGUUAAUAAUGCCUAAGGUCCUUUAAUAAUUUUGGUACCAAACCAAGUGCUUGAAGUGGUUGGAAUACCAUAACCUAUGCAGACACGUGAGGGCCAUUUACACGGAACCAGUGAUCUUGACCGAUCCAGAUCAUUCUAGAUUGGUUUGCUGCGUUUAUCCUCUUGACUCCCAAAACUUGAAAAUCACGGGAUCCCAGGGUGGUCACUUGGUUGCGAAAUUGGGUCUGACGUUCACGAUGUAUGGCGCCCGCAUACAACAACCAAAGUCCGGUGACGAGGCACCAUCUACCAUGGCAUGCUCUAACUGACCCUACUGUACAUCAAACACACUAAAACCAGCAGUAAAAUAGCAUCCCAGCUCAAGGGAAUAAAAAUAUUACUGAGACCGACCUGUCGGUCGUUGGGAAAAAAACAUUAUUUCAAAAUGACUGACUGGUCGGUCACCGGGAUUCAAGAGGUUGACUGCGCACCAUUGGUCAUUCGCAAGAAACACAAUGUUUAAGUUUUGAAUAUAAAGUUAAAAUAAAAGAUUGAGGUGUGUCGUGUAAUCAAGCAAUGUGCGUAUUCAUUUACGCGACACUCAUUAAUCAUCUUCUGUAAUAAUUUGUUUGAGUAAUCUUGGAAAGUUUUGAAAAAUGGCGUCCAUUACAUUUACAUUCUUCGCUCGUGCCUCAUCUCAACUAGAGCCCUUUGACGAGAGAUAAUGGCUUUUUCUGGCAUUUAUCUGAAAAACUUGACUUUCCUGAGAAACAUGACAGUGCCCAAGUUGUAGGGUAAUUACACAUUUCUUCAAGUCCCAAGAUAACAUUCAUUGAGUUAAGUUGAAAUCAGCAUGACAGUGAACUGAAUGGCUGCAAGAAUUUCCAGCAAGUACUUGUACCGGUAAUAUUUUUGUCUGACAACAACCGUUUUUGGGCCUUUUGAGCUUAUUAUAUAUGAGAGUAGUAGACAGAUCAAGUUGUUUGAAAUGACUGACAUAAUUUUAAAAGCCCUUGUCCUGCAAUUGCCACCGUGGUAAUGUACCUAAAGUGCCCCAGCCACAUAUGUACAAAUGAUAAUCAUGUUUGGCAAAAUGAAAUGUGUGGUGAAUAUUGAAAGUUCAAGUGUGAACACAUUAUGUAAAAGUGUGGAAUUACACAGCGAGAACUGUAUAAUCCCAGUAAAUGAUUUUUAUACAUAUUGAAGUCAUGAAGACUGUGAGUGUGAAUUUUAUCCUGAUACUUAAAGGCAGAAAGGGAAUUGAAGAUAGUGACAAAAAUGGUAUUUUUUCCUAAUGUUAAGUCGGGAUCGUGGGAUUAUUGAUUUCUGCCCGUUUCUAGUAUUGUGAGGAUGUAUUUGGUCAUUUGUUUUGAUGCAUGAAUGAAGUAACCCAGAUCGCAAUUAUUGAAAAAUUUGUGUAGAAACUUCAUUUGUAGUAGAGUGUGUAUAUCUGUUACUUCUAAUGAUUUUAAAGUCUUGAAUAAGGGUUUGGUGUGGGCAAUGAGCAGAGUAGAUAAUAAUAAUUAAAUGACCUGAAAUCUA